rnacentral:rRNA from 1 species
GACGAACGCUGGCGGCGUGCCUAAUACAUGCAAGUAGAACGCUGAAGCUUGGUGCUUGCACCGAGCGGAUGAGUUGCGAACGGGUGAGUAACGCGUAGGUAACCUGCCUGGUAGCGGGGGAUAACUAUUGGAAACGAUAGCUAAUACCGCAUAACAGUAGAUAUCGCAUGAUAGCUACUUGAAAGGUGCAAAUGCACCACUACCAGAUGGACCUGCGUUGUAUUAGCUAGUUGGUGAGGUAACGGCUCACCAAGGCAACGAUACAUAGCCGACCUGAGAGGGUGAUCGGCCACACUGGGACUGAGACACGGCCCAGACUCCUACGGGAGGCAGCCGUAGGGAAUCUUCGGCAAUGGACGGAAGUCUGACCGAGCAACGCCGCGUGAGUGAAGAAGGUUUUCGGAUCGUAAAGCUCUGUUGUAAGAGAAGAACGAGUGUGAGAGUGGAAAGUUCACACUGUGACGGUAUCUAACCAGAAAGGGACGGCUAACUACGUG